GGAGAGAUGGCAGAGCGGACUAUUGCGACAGUCUUGAAAACUGUUGUGGCCUUCGGGUCACCGUGGGUUCGAAUCCCACUCUCUCCGCCA
rnacentral:tRNA from 1 species